rnacentral:rRNA from 1 species
GAUGAACGCUGGCGGCGUGCUUAACACAUGCAAGUUGAGCGAGAAAAGUUCUUCGGAGCUUUUCUAGCGGCGGACGGGUGAGUAACACGUGGGCAACCUGCCUCAUAGAGGGGAAUAGCCUUCCGAAAGGAAGAUUAAUACCGCAUAACAUUGUUGAAAGGCAUCUUUUAACAAUCAAAGGAGCAAUCCGCUAUGAGAUGGGCCCGCGGCGCAUUAGCUAGUUGGUGAGGUAACGGCUCACCAAGGCGACGAUGCGUAGCCGACCUGAGAGGGUGAUCGGCCACAUUGGAACUGAGACACGGUCCAGACUCCUACGGGAGGCAGCAGUGGGGAAUAUUGCACAAUGGGGGAAACCCUGAUGCAGCAACGCCGCGUGAGUGAUGAAGGUCUUCGGAUUGUAAAGCUCUGUCUUUAGGGACGAUAAUGACGGUACCUAAGGAGGAAGCCACGGCUAACUACGUGCCAGCCGCCGCAGUAAUAC